rnacentral:piRNA from 1 species
GAGAAUGGUUUGCUGUAGCAUAUGGUUGA